rnacentral:antisense_RNA from 1 species
AAAAAUUAACGGAGGUAGAUUAAAAAAAAAAGCCAAUGGAGAAUUUGAAAUGCAGUAGAAAUCUUGGCAGCCCACAUCUUCAGAAACAAAUGCAAACACUGGAAUCUGUGUAAUGAACCAGAAAGAAGAUGCUCAAGCACUGAAUUGUCUUAAGAAAACAAGUAAGGUUUUGUCACCUAUCCUAUUUCUCACUGCAAGUUGAAAAAAAUCAAAUCCAAACACCACCACCCCUUCUAUGACAACAAACGGCUGUGGAGGUAAUCUUAUUUUCUUAAGGGUAGUUUCAUGAUGACAGUUUCAAAAAAUUACUGUGGAUAAAGAAAAAAUUGUCUCAAUGAAAUAGAAUUUUUCACUGAACACAGAAACCAUCUCAAUAGUUGCUGCUCCCUGGUUUCCAGGCCAUGCAACAGACAUCAAACUAGGAAGCCAAACUUUCAUGGACCUGUGUUAAGAAAAACACACAUAUAUGGGCAUACUACUUUUUUUUUUUUUUUUUCAGAAAAACGGAAUUAGGCAGAGAAGGAAGUGUGGGUGUACAACUGAUCCACAAGC